AAAGACAGAGAGAGGAUGCCAGCGGGGGGAAAGACAGAGAGAGGAUGCCAGCUGGGAAAAGACAGAGAGAGGAUGCCAGCCGCGGGAAAGACAGAGAGAGGAUGCCAGCUGGGGGGAAAGACAGAGAGAGGAUGCCAGCCGGGGGAAAGAGAGAGAGGAUGCCAGCCGGGGGAAAGACAGAGAGAGGAUGCCAGCCGGGGGAAAGACAGAGAGAGGAUGCCAGCUGGGGAGAAAGACAGAGAGGCUAGAUUAGAACCUAGACUAGCCAGGCCACGAGAUGGACUGCUUCUACUGGGUCAGAGUUUACGCACAGCAGAGUUAACUGUCCUCAGACAGACGGACAGACAGAUGGAGGAACUAGGAAUAAUCAUCACUUUUCUUACAGUUUCUUUUCCCAGUCAAAGCCAAUCAGAAUCAUGCAGUCUGUACAGUACUACUGUUUUCAGGGAUAUGUAGCCCCUCUGUGGAGUGUUUCAAAAUGCCCAAGUCAGUAAUGAGGUCAGUAGUCAGUAAUGAGGUCAGUAGUCAGUAAUGAGGUCAGUAGUCAGUAAUGAGGUCAGUAGUCAGUAAUGAGGUCAGUAGUCAGUAAUGAGGUCAGUAGUCAGUAAUGAGGUCAGUAGUCAGUAAUGAGGUCAGUAAUGAGGUCAGUAGUCAGUAAGGAUGUCAGUAGUCAGUAAUGAUGUCAGUAAUGAGGUCAGUAGUCAGUAAUGAUGUCAGUAGUCAGUAAUGAUGUCAGUAAUGAGGUCAGUAGUCAGUAAUGAUGUCAGUAAAGAGGUCAGGUCAGUAGUCAGUAAUGAGGUCAGUAGUCAGUAAUGAGGUCAGUAGUCAGUAAUGAGGUCAGUAGUCAGUAAUGAGGUCAGUAGUCAGUAAUGAUGUCAGUAAAGAGGUCAGUAAUGAGGUCAGGUCAGUAGUCAGUAAUGAGGUCAGUAAUGAGGUCAGUAGUCAGUAAUGAUGUCAGUAAUGAGGUCAGUAGUCAGUAAUGAUGUCAGUAAAGAGGUCAGGUCAGUAGUCAGUAAUGAGGUCAGUAGUCAGUAAUGAUGUCAGUAAUGAGGUCAGUAGUCAGUAAUGAGGCCAGGUCAGUAGUCAGUAAUGAUGUCAGGUCAGUAGUCAGUAAUGAUGUCAGUAAUGAGGUCAGUAAUGAGGCCAGGUCAGUAGUCAGUAAUGAUGUCAGUAAUGAGGUCAGUAGUCAGUAAUGAGGUCAGGUCAGUAGUCAGUAAUGAGGCCAGGUCAGUAGUCAGUAAUCAGGUCAGUAGUCAGUAAUGAGGCCAGGUCAGUAGUCAGUAAUGAGGCCAGGUCAGUAGUCAGUAAUGAGGCCAGGUCAGUAGUCAGUAAUGAUGUCAGUAAUGAGGCCAGAUCAGUAGUCAGUAAUGAGGUCAGUAGUCAGUAAUGAGGUCAGUAGUCAGUAAUGAGGUCAGUAGUCAGUAAUGAGGCCAGGUCAGUAGUCAGUAAUGAUGUCAGUAAUGAGGCCAGUUCAGUAGUCAGUAAUGAGGCCAGUUUAGUAGUCAGUAAUGAGGUCAGUAAUGAGGUCAGGUCAGUAGUCAGUAAUGAUGCCAGGUCAGUAGUCAGUAAUGAGGUCAGUAAUGAGGCCAGUUCAGUAGUCAGUAAUGAGGCCAGGUCAGUAGUCAGUAAUGAGGUCAGUAAUGAGGUCAGGUCAGUAGUCAGUAAUGAGGCCAGGUCAGUAGUCAGUAAUGAGGUCAGUAAUGAGGUCAGGUCAGUAGUCAGUAAUGAGGCCAGGUCAGUAGUCAGUAAUGAGGUCAGUAGUCAGUAAUGAUGUCAGUAAUGAGGUCAGUAGUCAGUAAUGAUGUCAGUAGUCAGUAAUGAUGUCAGUAAUGAGGUCAGUAGUCAGUAAUGAUGUCAGUAGUCAGUAAUGAGGUCAGUAGUCAGUAAUGAGGUCAGUAGUCAGUAAUGAGGUCAGUAGUCAGUAAUGAGGUCAGUAGUCAGUAAUGAGGUCAGGUCAGUAGUCAGUAAUGAGGUCAGUAAUGAGGUCAGUAGUCAGUAAUGAUGUCAGUAAUGAGGUCAGUAGUCAGUAAUGAUGUCAGUAAUGAGGUCAGGUCAGUAGUCAGUAAUGAGGUCAGUAAUGAGGUCAGUAGUCAGUAAUGAUGUCAGUAGUCAGUAAUGAUGUCAGUAAUGAGGUCAGUAGUCAGUAAUGAUGUCAGUAAAGAGGUCAGGUCAGUAGUCAGUAAUGAGGUCAGUAGUCAG